CGGUGUCACACCCAGCUCUACAACGUGAAAUGCUCUCCGCCGGUGACAAUCUAUCUAGAUUUAGUACAAGGUUUAGUGGGACUUAACAUCUGCGUGAGAGGGAAAGUCAGAAAGAGAGAGAGGUACAGCAGCAGGUUCUUUCCCUGUUCCUCAAAGCAUCCUUCGGGUUGUUGGCACCGAAGAGAAUGUAAACAUUGGGUUCCUCCUGCUGGAGCACCUGCUGACAAAUUCCGUAAGGAGAAGUAUGUGAUUCCACACUAAUGUUUUGAAUCAGUUGGAGAUGUCUGCAGAGGGAUCCAUCUGUUGAGAUCUGCAAAACGAAG